rnacentral:rRNA from 1 species
UACGAAGGGGGCUAGCGUUGCUCGGAAUCACUGGGCGUAAAGCGCACGUAGGCGGAUCUUUUAAGUCAGGGGUGAAAUCCCAAGGCUCAACCUUGGAACUGCCUUUGAUACUGGGGAUCUCGAGUCCGGAAGAGGUUGGUGGAACUGCGAGCGUAGAGGUGAAAUUCGUAGAUAUUCGCAAGAACACCAGUGGCGAAGGCGGCCAACUGGUCCGGUACUGACGCUGGGGUGCGAAAGCGUGGGGAGCAAACAGGG